GAAGAGGGGGAGAGGGAAGGGGAACCCGCGAGAUGGUUCCCAGCGGCCCUCACCUCUCCGUGGUCCUGAUGGAUCAGUGGCUUCGGCCUUCUUCUGGUGGCCAUCGUCACCGUGACUCGCUCCCGCCCAGGGUUCAGUCUCGGGUCCUUUUCAUUCCCCAUGCCUGUGUGGAGAGGAUAAAUCUGCUGCAAGUUUAAGUACACAUUCAAAUCCAGAUGAAUUAUUCUGCAAGAUAGUGGAAAAGGAGAAGUAAAUUGAAGGACAGCAGUUCUGAUAUCAGCAGAGAGAGCUUCAAGAAAGCAUCUUGUUGAAUGAUUGCAAAGCAAGAGGGCAGGCUCUCUGAAUACGUGAUAGCUCAAGGUACUGCCGGGACAAACAAUACUGAUCAAGACAGUGCAUUCAACCUGAGAGGAUGGAGUUUCUUGUGCACCAGCAGGUGGAGGUACAAGUCAUUGGUAGAAAAUCCAGAGGAAGAAGAAAGAAAGAAACGGCUAGAAAACCAGUCCCUGAACAACUGAAUGUUCCUCGCAUUUUUAAGUAUAUAGCUACGUAGAAGUCGAACAGUUUUUAAUAUUUUAAACUAUUGCAUUUUAUUUCCACGUUGUUUCAGAUUAUUCAGAACAAAAACCAUUUAAGGAUCUUGAAAGAUUAAUCCAGGAAUCUCAGAGCAGCCAGGAUCUUUCAUCACAUCAGGAAAAUAGCUACAGGAUCGCACUUUCUUCAAGCACCCUUUGCCCUC
rnacentral:lncRNA from 1 species